UAACCUGUGGGACCAGAUAAAAAGGAGGGCCACAGGAGCUCCCCCAGCCCUAUUCUCAAGUCAUUCAGCUGGUGUAACUACAGUACAGGAUUGCACCCUAAAUUACAGCAGCAUAGAACAGGGUGUUAAAACUGAGGAGGUGGGACCACAUGCCAUGGGGAAAGAAGAUCUCCUGUACAUCCCAGCUGCCCUCACUGUCUUGAGCUUGACCAUGCUGGGCUGAAGAUCCUAGUCCAACAGGUUGGCCCUGCCUUCUGCCUGCCCCUCCGAGCUAGCACGGGGCUGAGCCUUGGCGGCGGCAGCCUCUCCUCCUCCUCGCCUGCUCUCCAACAACCAAGGGAGGAGGCCAACAGCAGCCACCGCAAGGCCACAGGAUGCUUCCUCACUGCCGCCACCACCACUUGGGACAAGUACCGGCUCAUUCUCCUUCUCAACCUUGGCAGCACUGGCAGGGGAAUGGGAACAUUCCAGUCAAAUCAAAAGCUGGGAUGGCUUUUGUAAUUCCGUGACUGUCUCUGGAAAAUCAGGACACUUGAAAGGCAGAUGAACCUUUAAACUAGAGAAAUAACCCUGGCGAGGAAGAGACGGGGAGAGAGACCUGCCGACCAGCAGAAAGAGCAACUACAAAGGCAUGCUUUCAUGUCCACACAAGAAUGCCACAUCCAUACAAACAAGUAAGUGGGUUUCUAGCUCAGCUGUGUGAAUUUGCCACCCAGGGAUAUUUUUUUAAUGUGUAUCUUUGCA
rnacentral:lncRNA from 1 species